rnacentral:rRNA from 1 species
AAUAGAUACCCCGGUGUCCACGCCUAAACGAUGCGAACUGGAUGUUAGGGUACAUUACGGUACGUCAGUGUCGAAGCUAACGCGUUAAGUUCGCCGCCUGGGGAGUACGGUCGCAAGACUGAAACUCAAAGGAAUUGACGGGGGCCCGCACAAGCGGUGGAGUAUGUGGUUUAAUUCGAUGCAACGCGAAGAACCUUACCUGGCCUUGACAUCUGUCGAAUCCUGCAGAGAUGCGGGAGUGCCGCGAAGGGACGACAAGACAGGUGCUGCAUGGCUGUCGUCAGCUCGUGUCGUGAGAUGUUGGUUAACGUCCGCACGAGCGCACCUUCGUCUUAGUUGCAGCACGUAA